GUGACCUAAUCACCUGUGGCAGUCAUUUGUAGAGAAAGAUGCUAUUAGUGCUAAGAAGGGUGAUUGAGUGCUGUUUAAAAAAAUAAUCAAGUGGGCUAGUAUUCAUCAGGGGCUGCUCUCAAUAGCUAAUUCUCAAUGAAGGCAGAGGAAUCAACUCAAACAGAGGGUUCAGUAAACAAUGAAAAGAAGAAGAAUAUCAAAUUAUUAGUGUUGUCUGUUGCAAUGUAAAGUGCAAUGCAUUUAUAUGAUGUAGGCAGGUUCCUGUAUUUGUAUUUUUCCUUUAGAACUAUAUUAAAUUGAAUUAAUGUUUAUCUGUUACAUUCAGAACUUUGAAGUGUGUUCCUGAGGGUUUCGAGGAAAGAACAUAGAGCAACCAACAAUGAUGUACAGUGACCUAUGACAUCUCAUUCAAUUACAAACCCCCCUGCGCUCCACACUAAUGGAGAUCCAGCUGCUGGGAGCGAUGGGAGCAGAGGUGACGUUCGUGGGAUCAAUGCAACCCUAGAUUCUCUUGCCACCAGCCCUGUCUCCUGGGGAGCCAUUGAGAUAGUGGAAUCAGAAGUGGAAGAGAGGAUGAAAUGGUAUUGGCAUGCCUUCAUUCCCUCAGACAUUAGCCAGCGGCGGCUUUCUUUUGUCCAUUUCCUGCUCACCUUCAUUGUCUGUUUGGCAGGUCCCAUUUGUUUUGCCUUCUCGUAUUUGUUUCCCUUCCCCCGGUUUCCAGAUCAUUCUAACCUGAUUGGCUCCCCAUCCUCUCUUCUUUUAGUCCUUCAUUUUGCUAUAUUCCUGCUUCUUGCCUUGUUUUUAUUUUUUAUUAUGAACUACAAACAUACAGGAAAAAAAAUCAUUGAGAAUAAGGAAUGUAACAAACACCCACUUACAUAUCAUGGAACUUUAACAAAUGUUAACAAAGCAAACUUCCUUGCUUUGGAUCUUUUCUUAAGGAAAUAAAAAUUCUAUCAUCUAUCUAUCUAUCCAUUCAUCCAUCAACAUAGUUAAAGCCUGCUGUGAUUUACACCUCCUUUAUAACAUAACAAUCUCUUCUCCAGAUGUUAGCACUAUCUUGAGCGCUAACAUUGUAACUCUUAUGCAUGUUUUCAUGCUAAUAGAAUCACUACAUAUAUACUACAUACAAA
rnacentral:lncRNA from 1 species